ACUGAGUGGUUUAAAUUACAACAGAAUUGCUCCCUAUUAAAAGGGUCGGUCUAAGACUGAAAAGCUUAGAACUCACUCUUCGUGGACCAAGUUCCUUGCCGCAAAAAAAAAAAUACACGGGAGCGACAAGAAUGAAUAGAAAAGCAGUUUGUGUCUUUCUGUUGGUGAUACUAGUUGCUGUAUCAAUUGUCAGCGCCGCGGGACCGGGUUCACCAAAUCGCCAUGGAAAGAGAACGGACUCCAUGAGCCUGAUCAGGAAGAGAGAGUUUUGUGCUCGAGCCAGGAUGAUAUGUAAUUCUGCAGAAGACGUGGAAGAUGAGCCCGCCUUACCGGCAUUUGAGAGUGAAGAAAUAUGAGUGCAAAUAAAAAAAAUUACAUAGUCAAAUUA